rnacentral:rRNA from 1 species
AAUUUCUGCUGCUUCGCUUUCGUCCCUUUAUUGGUUUCGUUUGCGUUGUGGCUUUUUUCUGGUUGAUUGGCUUCGGCUUUUUUUCCAGAUUUUUUUACUUUGAGAAAAUUAGAGUGCUUCAAGCAGGCUUUUGCCUUGAAUACUUUAGCAUGGAAUAAUAAAGUAGGACUUUGGUUCUAUUUUGUUGGUUUUCGAACCAAAGUAAUGGUUAAUAGGAACAGUUGGGGGCAUUCGUAUUUAACUGUCAGAGGUGAAAUUCUUAGAUUUGUUAAAGACGAACUACUGCGAAAGCAUUUGCCAAGGAUGUUUUCAUUAAUCAAGAACGAAAGUUAGGGGAUCGAAGACGAUCAGAUACCGUCGUAGUCCUAACCAUAAACUAUGCCGACUAGAGAUUGG